GACGAACGCUGGCGGCGUGCUUAACACAUGCAAGUCGAACGGUAAGGCCCUUCGGGGUACACGAGUGGCGAACGGGUGAGUAACACGUGGGUGAUCUGCCCUGCACUUCGGGAUAAGCCUGGGAAACUGGGUCUAAUACCGGAUCGGACCAUGCGCUUCACGGUGUGUGGUGGAAAGCUUUUGCGGUGUGGGAUGGGCCCGCGGCCUAUCAGCUUGUUGGUGGGGUAAUGGCCUACCAAGGCGACGACGGGUAGCCGGCCUGAGAGGGUGACCGGCCACACUGGGACUGAGAUACGGCCCAGACUCCUACGGGAGGCAGCAGUGGGGAAUAUUGCACAAUGGGCGCAAGCCUGAUGCAGCGACGCCGCGUGAGGGAUGACGGCCUUCGGGUUGUAAACCUCUUUCAGUAGGGACGAAGCGCAAGUGACGGUACCUACAGAAGAAGGACCGGCCAACUACGUGCCAGCAGCCGCGGUAA
rnacentral:rRNA from 1 species